GUAGAUGUCCAGUUGAGGAAUGAAGAUUUGGGGAUUGAUACUUAUAGAUCCGGUGGUUCAGGUGGUUAGCAUGUAAAUACCACCAGUACUGCUGUCCCAAUAACUCAUAUUCCAAGGGAGAUGACUGUGUCCAUCCAAGAUAAAUGAUCUCAACAUAUGAACAAAGCUAAAACACUUGAGGUUCUGUGUGCAAAUCUGUAUGAAAUGGAGAAGUUAAGAAUUCAGAUGAGUAGAUCAAAACUUCGAUCAGAGCAGGUAAGAGUGACUGUGACAUGAAGAUGAGCAAGUUUACUAUUGUUUUUUGUUUGUUAUCUUCCAGAAUGAUGAAAGGAUCUUAUCACUGUAAACAGAUCGAUAGUGGUGAUCAAUUGGAGCGUAUCUGAACUUACAGCUAGGGCCUUCCAAACAUGGAUUUGAACGCUAGUGCAAGUACCUUGGAUCUCUUGCACAACGGUCAACAAGUAUCAAUACUGUUUUGCAUGUGCACAGUUUUUUGUGCAAGAAAAUCCCCAGAUUUUGCAAAGUGCCUACAAUUUUUUGUACAUUAGAAUCUACCUUCUAUUGAUAAUUGGUGGGAUAUGUUUCAUGAUUGUUAAUUUGGCUAUGGUUGUUCGUGAAGUAUCUGUAUCCGACUUUCACUCCAACAGUAGUCUUGUUUGUUGCUGGAAUGGUUGCGUAUGGAGUACUUAAGUACCCGCAAAAUGAGAAACUCAAGGACCAAAAUUGAAUCAUGGAUGAAGGCUGAUGGUUUCAGUCGUAAAAUAAGGGAGGACUUGUACGACAUCCACUGAUAAUUGUACUUUGGUGAAAUUUUUUGCAGUGGCUUCUUCAAUUUCACUAGGACCAAGUCUUUGAAUGCGGUGAAAUUCUAUGGAUGUACGGAUGAUUUCGGUAGUCUAUCAUCACUAUUUUCACA